rnacentral:rRNA from 1 species
GACGAACGCUGGCGGCGUGCUUAACACAUGCAAGUCGAACGAUGAAGCCCAGCUUGCUGGGUGGAUUAGUGGCGAACGGGUGAGUAACACGUGGGCAACCUGCCCCAAACUCUGGGAUAACUCCUCGAAAGAGGUGCUAAUACCGGAUACGAACUAGACAGACAUCUGUACUAGUUGGAAAGUUUUUCGGUUUGGGAUGGGCCCGCGGCCUAUCAGCUUGUUGGUGAGGUAACGGCUCACCAAGGCUACGACGGGUAACCGGCCUGAGAUGGCGACCGGUCACACUGGGACUGAGACACGGCCCAGACUCCUACGGGAGGCAGCAGUGGGGAAUAUUGCGCAAUGGGCGAAAGCCUGACGCAGCGACGCCGCGUGAGGGAUGAAGGUCUUCGGAUCGUAAACCUCUUUCAGUAGGGACGAAGCGAAAGUGACGGUACCUAAAGAAGAAGCACCGGCUAACUACGUGCCAGCCGCCGCAGUAA